GGCACUUCCAAAAUUGAUUUUGGCACUCCUCCCCUCUCACAUGAAUAGCAAGGGGGAGGAGUGCCAAAAUCUAUUUCGAAAGAGUUA
rnacentral:pre_miRNA from 1 species